ACGGGAGGCAGCAGUCGGGAAUAUUGCGCAAUGGAGGAAACUCUGACGCAGUGACGCCGCGUAUAGGAAGAAGGUUUUCGGAUUGUAAACUAUUGUCGUUAGGGAAGAUACAAGACAGUACCUAAGGAGGAAGCUCCGGCUAACUACGUGCCAGCAGCCGCGGUAAUACGUAGGGAGCAAGCGUUAUCCGGAUUUAUUGGGUGUAAAGGGUGCGUAGACGGGAAGUUAAGUUAGUUGUGAAAUCCCUCGGCUCAACUGAGGAACUGCAACUAAAACUGGCUUUCUUGAGUGCAGGAGAGGUAAGUGGAAUUCCCAGUGUAGCGGUGAAAUGCGUAGAUAUUAGGAGGAACACCAGUGGCGAAGGCGACUUACUGGACUGUAACUGACGUUGAGGCACGAAAGUGUGGGGAGCAAACAGGAUUAGAUACCCUGGUA
rnacentral:rRNA from 1 species